rnacentral:rRNA from 1 species
UACGGAGGGUGCGAGCGUUGUCCGGAAUCAUUGGGCGUAAAGGGCGCGUAGGUGGCCCGGUCAGUCCGUGGUGAAAGCGCGGGGCUCAACCCUGCGUCGGCCAUGGAUACUGCCGCGGCUGGAGCACUGUAGAGGCAGGCGGAAUUCCGGGUGUAGCGGUGGAAUGCGUAGAUAUCGUAAGGAAGACCAGUGGCGAAGGCGAAUCUCUGGACAGUUACUGACACUGAGGCACGAAGGCCAGGGGAGCAAACGGG